GGUUUUAUAGUCAAUUUUAUGAUAUUAGACUGCAAUUCUAAAGUAGUAUUUAUACUAAAACCU
rnacentral:tRNA from 2 species